rnacentral:rRNA from 1 species
AAUGAACGUUGGCGGCGUGGAUUAGGCAUGCAAGUCGAGCGCGAAGGUUUCUUUUGCUUGCAUUAGAAACUGGAAAGCGGCGAAAGGGAGAGUAACGCGUAGAAUACCUGCCCCGAGGCCUGGGAUAGCGGUGGGAAACCGCCGGUAAUACCAGAUAAUGUUUCCGAACCAAAGGUGUGAUUCCGCCUCGGGAUGGUUCUGCGUCCUAUUAGCUUGUUGGUGGGGUAAUAGCCUACCAAGGCAAUGAUGGGUAGCGGGCGUGAGAGCGUGGCCCGUCUCACUGGGACUGAGACACUGCCCAGACACCUACGGGUGGCUGCAGUCGAGAAUCUUCCGCAAUGGACGAAAGUCUGACGGAGCGACGCCGCGUGCGGGAUGAAGGCCUUCGGGUUGUAAACCGCUGUCAGUGGGGUGGAAAUGUAUUUGAGGUUUCUCCUCUUUAUUUGACCUAACCGCAGAGGAAGUCCGGGCUAAGUACGUGCCAGCCGCCGCGGUAAU